UAAAUGUUGCAUACAUUGCUAAAAAUAGAUAUUUUCCCCAGUAUUUAUUACAUUUUUGUCUUGGUUUCCAAUUCAGAUAUUUAAAGUUCCUUAAAUCAAGAUGCAAAAUUAAGAUUUUUUAAGAUUCCAUUUUUUUUUUUUUUUUUUUUUUUUUUUUUUUUUUUUUUAUGACAUAUUGUUUUCCCUUCCAUUUAUUCCCUAGAUUUUAUUUGCUUGGUCUUAAAUGGGUCUUUGAAAAGCUUUAUUAUGGAUGUGAAAAAUGUUCCAACACAAGCAUGUUCAUUUUUAAAUUUAAACGUUUGUGCGGAACAUGAACGUCUGGUAUAUCAUGAAUACAAACGAAAGCACAUUCACUGGAUGAAGGUAAUAAACGGUCCUUUAUCAGGGGCCGUAUAAUUUCCUCAAGCUAAUGCUGUCCACGGUCUUUUAUCUGGACUGUGUUUUUGAAAGUCAUCCGGUCUAUGACAGAUCUCAUUUCCUGUCCCAGAGGACAGACGGUAACCAUAUCCACUUGACCUCUGCCAUCACUGUCUGAAGAUAUGACACCAUUGUUCUCGCCAUAUUCACUCAUUUACCAUUGUAAAAGACAGUGACUGUGGGUAUUAGAAAGGAUUGUGGAUUUUUUUGUGUGUGUGUGUCCACCAUGAUUGUAUUUUCUUUUUUUUUUUUCAUUUUCUUUUUCCAGUCCAGCAUUGUGCCUGGUGCUGUCGAGCUAAUAAAUGCCAUUUAAAUAUUCAUGCAAUGUUCGUUACAGUGAACUCUAAUGUCACCCCACAGCAGUCCAUUGAACUCGAACAAUAACGAGAAGUGAAUAAACAAAUUGAUCCAGGGUCGUGACCUGCGGUCUGUGCAACAGGUUUGAACAUAAACACCAGGUCCUGUUUCAGAGAAUAUUUCUUAUAUCAAUCAUGCCGAGUCCAGCAGAGACGUUCAGAUGAUUUAAAUGUGCUUGUUCCAGCCCCAGACUCUCAGAGGGAUCACAGCCAUUACAUUCUGUGCCACAGGAAGGAACUGCCUUGUUCUGUUUGCCGUAUCGCCCAUGCCAGAUCUUUUAACUCGGCUGAUUUUCCAUCAACAGUUGGGCUUGAAAGAGCAAUAAAAGAGUUAAUCAGAUGCAUUGGUUGACA
ensembl:lncRNA